UGCUCGCUACAGAGCACUAAAAUUGGAAUGAUACAGAGAUUAGCAUGGCCCCUGCAUAAGGAUGACACACAAAUUCGUGAAGCGUUCCAUAUUUUU
rnacentral:snRNA from 1 species